rnacentral:rRNA from 1 species
GAUGAACGCUGGCGGCGUGCCUAAUACAUGCAAGUCGAGCGAACGGACGAGAAGCUUGCUUCUCUGAUGUUAGCGGCGGACGGGUGAGUAAAACGGGGAUAACCUACCUAUAAGACUGGGAUAACUUCGGGAAACCGGAGCUAAUACCGGAUAAUAUUUUGAACCGCAUGGUUCAAAAGUGAAAGACGGUCUUGCUGUAACUUAUAGAUGGAUCCGCGCUGCAUUAGCUAGUUGGUAAGGUAACGGCUUACCAAGGCAACGAUGCAUAGCCGACCUGAGAGGGUGAUCGGCCACACUGGAACUGAGACACGGUCCAGACUCCUACGGGAGGCAGCAGUAGGGAAUCUUCCGCAAUGGGCGAAAGCCUGACGGAGCGACGCCGCGUGAGUGAUGAAGGUCUUCGGAUCUUAAAACUCUGUUAUUAGGGAAGAACAUAUGUGUAAGUAACUGUGCACAUCUUGACGGUACCUAAUCAGAAAGCCACGGCUAACUACGUG